rnacentral:rRNA from 8 species
CUCAGAGUUAAGUGACGAUAGCCUAGGAGAUACACCUGUACCCAUGCCGAACACAGAAGUUAAGCCCUAGAACGCCGGAAGUAGUUGGGGGUUGCCCCCUGUGAGAUAGGGAAGUCGCUUAGC